rnacentral:lncRNA from 1 species
AUGGCUACGACUGACAACGCAGUUGCAAAACUUUGUCCUUGCGGCAAGAAGAUUUCUGCCUGGGAUACACACCUAGUGUGUGCGGCAUGCCUGGGUUUAUCUCACGCUCAGGCUGCCUUGACACCCGCACACGACUGUAUCCACUGCGCGGCUUUCUCACGCAAGCUACUCCGCCGCAGGCUAGCUCGCCAGGCUAACCUGUCGGGUGGCGACCCUUUGCUGUGUGAGGCUGCUGCGGUGCAAGGAGAAAUUGAGAUGCCCGAUGAUUUGGCCGCAACGCCAGGGCCGAGCUGGGCAGAGGUAGACCCUCAGCCCAUCGCGACCGCUUUCCCGUCGCUGGAGGCACACGGAGAUUGUGAGUUUUUCCCCCAUGCUGGAGUCACCCGGGGAGGAGAUGCUAACGAGGACGGAGAUGAGUCGGCUGACUCGGACCUCCUGCUGUCUGACGAGGAGGAGGAAAAUUCCACCUCCUUGGCUAGCAUCAGCUGGGCUGCAAAGCACUCGGCUACCGGCGAGGUUGAAAAACCGACACCGCCGUCUCCCCUGGAUCUCAACAUGCAGGACAUGUGCAAGCGCGCAGCUGCUAGGCUCAACAUCCCGUGGCCCGCCAUACAAACAGAGGUUGUAAAAUCUCGUUUUGAAGGUAAGAAAUUGCCGAAGGCGAAAAAGACAGGGAAGCAUGUGUUGCCUGUUUUCCCGGAGCUACUCGAUGAGAUAGCAGUGACGUGGAAAGCAAAACCUUACAGCGAGAAACACCCCAUCGCGGGGAGCUCUCUGCUGGAUUGUGAGGGGAUGGAGUCUAUCGGCCUCCGCCAGAUGCCACAAGUGGAGCCAUUGAUAGCGAGCCAUCUUCACCCGAAGACGUCUCUGUCCUCAUCGGCUCCAUCUCUCCCCUCCAAGACAGACCGCUUCCAGUCUAGCCUUACAGAUAAGUGCUACAAGGCAGCGGCUCUGUCGGUAAGAGCCCACAACGCCUCCUCUAUGCUAAUGGCUUACCAAGCUGAGCUAGAAGAGGACAUGACAGCUAAACCAGAUACCACAGUGUGGGAAGAAAUCUGCGUUAUAACUGACCACGUCCUCCGCCUCCACAAGGUAGCCGUACAGGCUACUGGGAGAGCCAUGGGCCUCAUGGUUCUUCAGGAGCGAGCACACUGGCUCGGGCUCACCAACCUGACGACUAAGGAAAAAGAGGAACUCCUCGACUCCCCUGUCGUCCCUCAAGGUCUCUUCGGUGCGGCUGUUACAUCCAUGCAGAAGAGAUGUGAGGAGAAAAAGAGAGAUGAUGAGGCUCUGAAACUCUGCCUGCCGAGGAGGGCCCAGCACGCCACUCCAGCGGCACUGCGCCAGUCAUUCGCGCAGGCAGCGUCUCACCCGGUCCCCGCUUUCAGGAUCCCCAAAGUGCCUAAGACGCAGGCAGCCUCCCAGGCUGCUGGGGCUCCUAAGAAUCCAUGGACUCGGGAACAGUCUCCCCAGGCCAGACCUCAAGCGGCCCCUCCUCCUCCCCCCGCUGCCGCGACCGUGAGGAGGAAGAAGCGGCCGGCCUGA